rnacentral:rRNA from 1 species
AUUGAACGCUGGCGGCAGGCCUAACACAUGCAAGUCGAGCGGAUGAAGGGAGCUUGCUCCUCGAUUCAGCGGCGGACGGGUGAGUAAUGCCUAGGAAUCUGCCUGGUAGUGGGGGAUAACGUCCGUAAACGGGCGCUAAUACCGCAUACGUCCUGAGUGAGAAAGUGGGGGAUCUUCGGACCUCACGCUAUCAGCUGAGCCUAGGUCGGAUUAGCUAGUUGGUGGGGUAAAGGCCUACCAAGGCGACGAUCCAUAACUGGUCUGAGAGGAUGAUCAGUCACACUGGAACUGAGACACGGUCCAGACUCCUACGGGAGGCAGCAGUGGGGAAUAUUGGACAAUGGGCGAAAGCCUGAUGCAGCCAGGCCGCGUGUGUGAAGAAGGUCUUCGGAUGGUAAAGCACGUUAAGUUGGGAGGAAGGGCAGUAAGUUAAUACCUUGAUGUUUUGACGGUACCUAAAGAGAAAGCAACGGCUAACUUCGUG